CCUACGGGAGGCAGCAGUCGGGAAUUUUGCGCAAUGGGGGAAACCCUGACGCAGCAAUACCGCGUGUGGGAUGAAGGCCUUCGGGUCGUAAACCACUUUUCUCGGGGACGAUAAUGACGGUACCCGAGGAAUAAGCCACGGCUAACUACGUGCCAGCAGCCGCGGUAAUACGUAGGUGGCAAGCGUUGUCCGGAUUUACUGGGCGUAAAGCGCGCGCAGGCGGUGAAUGAAGUCGAAAGUGAAAGCCCCGGGCUCAACUCGGGAACAGCUUUCGAAACCAGUUCACUUGAAGGUGGAAGAGGGAAGUGGAAUUCCGAGUGUAGCGGUGGAAUGCGCAGAUAUUCGGAGGAACACCAGAGGCGAAGGCGACUUCCUGGUCCAAUCUUGACGCUGAGGCGCGAAAGCUAGGGGAGCAAACAGGAUUAGAUAUCCUGGUAGUCCUAGCUGUAAACGAUGGAUACUAGGUGUUGGAGGUUUUAACCCCUCCGGUGCCGCAGCUACGACAUAAGUAUCCGUCCGUCGGGUAGGUACGGUCCGGCCGACGGACGUAAACCUACAAUAGAAGUUAGUACGGCGUGAGACGUGCCGAACGGACGACGACGAGGGGAGUUAGG
rnacentral:rRNA from 1 species